AGUGAACGCUGGCGGUAGGCCUAACACAUGCGAGUCGAACGGCAGCACAGUAAGAGCUUGCUCUUACGGGUGGCGAGUGGCGGACGGGUGAGGAAUACAUCGGAAUCUACUUUUUCGUGGGGGAUAACGUAGGGAAACUUACGCUAAUACCGCAUACGACCUACGGGUGAAAGCAGGGGAUCUUCGGACCUUGCGCGAUUGAAUGAGCCGAUGUCGGAUUAGCUAGUUGGCGGGGUAAAGGCCCACCAAGGCGACGAUCCGUAGCUGGUCUGAGAGGAUGAUCAGCCACACUGGAACUGAGACACGGUCCAGACUCCUACGGGAGGCCGCAGUGGGGAAUAUUGGACAAUGGGCGCAAGCCUGAUCCAGCCAUACCGCGUGGGUGAAGAAGGCCUUCGGGUUGUAAAGCCCUUUUGUUGGGAAAGAAAAGCAGCAGGUUAAUACCCCGCUGUUCUGACGGUACCCAAAGAAUAAGCACCGGCUAACUUCGUG
rnacentral:rRNA from 1 species